rnacentral:lncRNA from 1 species
AAGCGUUGGAAAUAUCAAAGAGUAGGUCAUAUUAGUAAGGAGUGCCCUAAUAGGGACAUUAAGUGUUGAAAAUAUCAAGCAGUAGGUCAUAUUAGUACGGACUGCCCUAAUAGGAGGACUGUGACCAUACAAAAUGGUAAGGUAGUGACGGAUGAUGAAGAGGGUGACAAUGAGAGUAGUAGUUAGGAUGAGAUGCUCAAAUUAUAGAGUGGUAAUGAGGGGAGUGUUGAAGAACCAAUUAGGAGUAAUUUAUUGA